rnacentral:rRNA from 1 species
UGAUAUGCUUGUCUUAAAGAUUAAGCCAUGCAUGCCUCAGUACAAACUGUUGUAGAGUGAAACCGCGAAUGGCUCAUUAAAUCGGUUAUGGUUCCUUGGACCUAAAAUUUUACUUGGAUAACUGUGGUAAUUCUAGAGCUAAUACAUGCAUUUCAGUCGUGACCCGAAAGGGGAAGGACGCUUUUAUUAGAUCAAGACCAAUCGGCCGGCUUGCCCGGUCGUUCCGUUUUGGUGACUCUGGAUAACCUUGGGCUGAUCGCACGGUCUCCGCACCGGCGACGUGUCCUUCAAAUGUCUGCCUUAUCAACUGACGAUGGUAGGUUUUGCGCCUACCAUGGUUGUAACGGGUGACGGGGAAUCAGGGUUCGAUUCCGGAGAGGGAGCCUGAGAAACGGCUACCACAUCCAAGGAAGGCAGCAGGCGCGCAAAUUACCCACUCCCGGCACGGGGAGGUAGUGACGAAAAAUAACGAUACGGGACUCAUCCGAGGCCCCGUAAUCGGAAUGAGAACAUUUUAAAUCUCUUAACGAUUACCCAUUAGAGGGCCAGUCUG